AGCCCCCGAUGUCCUUUUCUUAUGAUGGUCUUCAGAUUCACUGGGCAGUGCUGAUAAUUCCACAGGCUCAGCUGAUGUCAGAAA